CAGGGAGAGCUUUGGUGGAGAGGCAGAAGCAACAUUGCUGUGAAGAGCUGCUUGUGAGAAAACCAUCCAGAAGGGGCCUCUGCUUGGGUGUGGUCUCACUUCUGGCCAGAGCAAGCUUGGAAUCUGAGGAACAAGAAGGUUGUGGAAGCCUAUUAUUGACCUGAUAUUUCAUGGGAAGCUUAUGGACCAAGCCCUGCUGCUCUUCAGUUCCCAGCAUAUGAGAAGGGCACUCACAGCGCAGGAAUGAAUGAGAAAGCAGAAUCAUGGCUCUUGCUAUUCAAAGCACAGACUAUGGUGACUAUUAAGCAGUGACUCCCCUUGUUCAUUUCAUUUAUGUCCUUACUCUUUGUAAAAAUAGCAGAUGAUUCAGCA